rnacentral:rRNA from 1 species
UGAUCCUGGCUCAGGAUGAACGCUGGCGGCGUGCCUAAUACAUGCAAGUCGAGCGAACGGACGAGAAGCUUGCUUCUCUGAUGUUAGCGGCGGACGGGUGAGUAACACGUGGAUAACCUACCUAUAAGACUGGGAUAACUUCGGGAAACCGGAGCUAAUACCGGAUAAUAUUUUGAACCGCAUGGUUCAAAAGUGAAAGACGGUCUUGCUGUCACUUAUAGAUGGAUCCGCGCUGCAUUAGCUAGUUGGUAAGGUAACGGCUUACCAAGGCAACGAUGCAUAGCCGACCUGAGAGGGUGAUCGGCCACACUGGAACUGAGACACGGUCCAGACUCCUACGGGAGGCAGCAGUAGGGAAUCUUCCGCAAUGGGCGAAAGCCUGACGGAGCAACGCCGCGUGAGUGAUGAAGGUCUUCGGAUCGUAAAACUCUGUUAUUAGGGAAGAACAUAUGUGUAAGUAACUGUGCACAUCUUGACGGUACCUAAUCAGAAAGCCACGGCUAACUACGUGCCAGCAGCCGCGGUAAUACGUAGGUGGCAAGCGUUAUCCGGAAUUAUUGGGCGUAAAGCGCGCGUAGGCGGUUUUUUAAGUCUGAUGUGAAAGCCCACGGCUCAACCGUGGAGGGUCAUUGGAAACUGGAAAACUUGAGUGCAGAAGAGGAAAGUGGAAUUCCAUGUGUAGCGGUGAAAUGCGCAGAGAUAUGGAGGAACACCAGUGGCGAAGGCGACUUUCUGGUCUGUAACUGACGCUGAUGUGCGAAAGCGUGGGGAUCAAACAGGAUUAGAUACCCUGGUAGUCCACGCCGUAAACGAUGAGUGCUAAGUGUUAGGGGGUUUCCGCCCCUUAGUGCUGCAGCUAACGCAUUAAGCACUCCGCCUGGGGAGUACGACCGCAAGGUUGAAACUCAAAGGAAUUGACGGGGACCCGCACAAGCGGUGGAGCAUGUGGUUUAAUUCGAAGCAACGCGAAGAACCUUACCAAAUCUUGACAUCCUUUGACAACUCUAGAGAUAGAGCCUUCCCCUUCGGGGGACAAAGUGACAGGUGGUGCAUGGUUGUCGUCAGCUCGUGUCGUGAGAUGUUGGGUUAAGUCCCGCAACGAGCGCAACCCUUAAGCUUAGUUGCCAUCAUUAAGUUGGGCACUCUAAGUUGACUGCCGGUGACAAACCGGAGGAAGGUGGGGAUGACGUCAAAUCAUCAUGCCCCUUAUGAUUUGGGCUACACACGUGCUACAAUGGACAAUACAAAGGGCAGCGAAACCGCGAGGUCAAGCAAAUCCCAUAAAGUUGUUCUCAGUUCGGAUUGUAGUCUGCAACUCGACUACAUGAAGCUGGAAUCGCUAGUAAUCGUAGAUCAGCAUGCUACGGUGAAUACGUUCCCGGGUCUUGUACACACCGCCCGUCACACCACGAGAGUUUGUAACACCCGAAGCCGGUGGAGUAACCUUUUAGGAGCUAGCCGUCGAAGGUGGGACAAAUGAUUGGGGUGAAGUCGUAACAAGGUAGCCGUAUCGGAAGGUGCGGCUGGAUCACCUCCUUUCUAA